UAGAAAUAAUUAAAAUAAGGAUACCAAAUGAGUUCUCCAGUUAUUACAAAAAUAUCGAAAAACCGUACAGACAGCUAACAUAAAAAGUGGAACAACAAUCAGCAGGAUCUAGUAUAAUCAUAUAAUGGGGGCAUGGUGCAAGCAAAAGUUCCCAGUAUAGGAUAUGCAUACAUAUACAUAGAUGUAGACCAAAUUUCAUUGACUAGAUUUGUGAGCUGAAACUAUUAAAAGAAUUACAAACUGACCAUGUCCCAACAGAACAAGAGAUGGCCAACUGCUCAUCAUAGAAUAUGAUGAUCACAAGUGGGGAACAAUUCACACAACAAUAUAGACAGCAACC
rnacentral:lncRNA from 1 species